AUUCAACUGACGAGUCCCAAAUAGAACGAAACGCGUCCUGAAU
rfam:Schistosoma rodhaini strain Burundi genome assembly, scaffold: SROB_scaffold0005530